GGAUGUGAAGGCAAUCUGGCUGAGACAUCUUUUGCCCCAGUGAAGACCAAGGUUGAUUUGGCUUAUCUGACUGGCUAGGGUGAGGUCCCCUUCCUCCCUCAUUACUCUUUGUCAUCUCUUUGGAAGCUGCAUGCUCAGUCAGGGAAGAUGGCUUUCACCAAUUAGAGAAGGACCAUUCUCUGUCGAGGAUAUAUAAGUACCUGCGAUCCCCUGCUGGAACUCCAAACAAGCUUUUCCAAGUUAAGGUUCAUGCAAAACCAGAAUGCUGCUUGGUUUAGCUAAGUAAGUUUUAUAGGUUUUCCUCAAAUUUCACCAGCUCAGACUUUCUAUGGAGAUAAGAGUCUGUACCU
ensembl:misc_RNA 7SK 7SK RNA